rnacentral:lncRNA from 1 species
CCACCAUACGACUGGAAUCACACAUACACUGCCACAAGAGGUCUGCAGUGAAGGUCCCAAAGUCCCAGACAAGUCCCCUCUUGUUGCCCAGGCUGGAGUGCAGCAGCAUGAUUACAGCUCACAUCAGCCUCGACCUCCCGGGCUCAAGCUAUCCUCCUACCUCAGCCUCCCAAGUAGCUGGGACUAUAGAUAAGACUGAAAGCAACACCAGCCAGUCUUGGGAAAUAUAAAGUCACAAAUAAAUUUUGAUAAUUUUUCAUUUCGUAAAGGAUCUUUCUGCUGAUGCAGCUGUUAAGAGUGUUUCAUAAACUGUGACAACACUAAGCAAAAUCAUAGAAGGAAACUCUAUGGACAAUUUCAGAUGGAGAAGAAGAAAGGACUGGAAGUUCAAUUUGGCCAUGACAAUUAGAGGCCAGGUGCAGUGCAUGUAAUCCCAGCACUUUGGGAGACUGAGAUGGGAAGAUCGCUUGAGGCCAGGAGUGCAAGACCAGCCUGGGCAACACAGCAAGACCUUGAUUCUACUAAAAAAAAAAAAGGAUCCUUCAACUUCAACAAUAAUAACACAAGGGAAGUGAAGAAAAACACUUUCUAAGGAAAUCUCUCUCUGAGCUACCAUCCUGCUAGGGAGAGCCUGAAAGCAGAAUGCUGACUUGACUAGCUCUGGUCAAUGAAAGAAAUCACCAGUGGAAAGGCUACCAGGGGGCUUUCUCAAAAGAGAGGGACAGU